GCCGGUGGGCCAGGUAAAAAAAAAAUCUCGCAGCCCAGUCCAUUAACCCAAAUCACCGUCUUCGUAAAACUAUUUCCUUCGGACAAUUACUUAUUUCAACUGUCAAACUAUUUUCUUUUGAAUUUUCUAUUUUUUCAGACAAUUUAUUAUUUCUACUGUUUCCUUUAACAAUGUGUGAACCGGCUAAGUUUUCUUUCAUCUUAAAAUUGUCCGUCCAAAAUAACACAACCCCCUCAUUUCACACACAAUCACUAUAAAUUUCUAAAAAAAAACUAAAUUCUACUAU
rnacentral:lncRNA from 1 species